GACGAACGCUGGCGGCGUGCUUAACACAUGCAAGUCGAGCGGUAAGGCCUUUCGGGGUACACGAGCGGCGAACGGGUGAGUAACACGUGGGCGACCUGCCCUCAGCUCUGGGAUAGGCCUGGGAAACCGGGUCUAAUACUGGAUAUGACUCCAUGACGCAUGUUGUGGGGUGGAAAGCCUUGUGCGGCUGAGGAUGGGCCCGCGGCCUAUCAGCUUGUUGGUGGGUGAUGGCCUACCAAGGCGA
rnacentral:rRNA from 1 species